GGCAAGAUGGCCGAGUGGUUAAGGCGGUAGACUCAAGCGAUUCAAAGCUUCACCAUUUAAAUAAGUUGGUGUUUUCUACUCUCGCAAGAGGCGUGGGUUCGAGUCCCACUCUUGUCA